AUUGAACGCUGGCGGCAUGCUUUACACAUGCAAGUCGAACGGCAGCGCGGGCUUCGGCCUGGCGGCGAGUGGCGAACGGGUGAGUAAUACAUCGGAACGUGCCCAGUAGUGGGGGAUAGCUCGGCGAAAGCCGGAUUAAUACCGCAUACGACCUGAGGGUGAAAGCGGGGGAUCUUCGGACCUCGCGCUAUUGGAGCGGCCGAUGGCAGAUUAGCUAGUUGGUGGGGUAAAGGCCUACCAAGGCGACGAUCUGUAGCUGGUCUGAGAGGACGACCAGCCACACUGGGACUGAGACACGGCCCAGACUCCUACGGGAGGCAGCAGUGGGGAAUUUUGGACAAUGGGCGAAAGCCUGAUCCAGCAAUGCCGCGUGUGUGAUGAAGGCCUUCGGGUUGUAAAGCACUUUUGGCGGGAACGAAAAGGACUGUGCCAAUACCACGGUUCGAUGACGGUACCCGCAGAAUAAGCGCCGGCUAACUACGUG
rnacentral:rRNA from 1 species